AGUCUCGGUAGGCUUGCCCGGCUCAUUGAAUUAUUAUCUGCCACAGGUAGCUCAUGUAUUUGUCCUGGUAUAUCCGUUCCCCCCUCCGCAUUCUCCAGCUGACAAAUACUGCUGUCGAUAGCCCCAGCACCUUGUCAGUCUAAGGCAGUGGAUCCCACAAUGUGAUUCCCUAGGAGGGCACUAAGAGGCAAGUGGGCAAUGGAGGUAUAAAUUUGAAAAGCUGGAAUCACUGGAUAAAUGUGCAAUUAAUUGUUACCGUUUUUUAAUGCCGCUCUAUUCUCUUCCUUAAUGGGUCAUGCAAACUGCUAUUCUGCUAUUCUGAAUAAUGCUUUUUAUAGGGUAGGGCGUGUUCCACUGGAGAUGAGUUUAUGGAACCAAGGGGGCAGUAGCCCCAAAUGGUUUUGGAACCACUGGUCUAAUGGUUCCUUGGUUUUGAGAACUGGAGCUAAGUUUAAAAACAAUACAAAAUGAACAUCUAUGGCAGAGACCCCUUUUUAAGGCAUUCCAUUUUGCUGUCCUAAGGUGGGAGGAAGGAAGACAAUGUUGGCGUAAUGCGUUGAAUUACACAGGGCCUGGUCUUGUGUCUUGAGUUAGUAAACACACACACCAUGUCUGGGUGCUCAGAGAUAGAAGAGCAAGUCCAUUGGGUUACCACAGCAAAAGAGUAGAGGUCAAGUGUAUUCACCCUCCCAUUGGUUCAGGAAUGUAGGGAUGGGUGCAAUAGUCUCUAGGGCAUUGCUUUCAUUGUGCCUGUUAUGUUUGUAUCCUGUCCUGUUUGCCAUCAAGGUUAUAGUGUUAGUGGAUGCUUGUUUACAAAGCUAUUUUACUUCCAACAUUACUGUAUGCUUCUGAAACAUGGACCACUUACAAACGCCAUCUCCAACUCCUCAAAAGAUUCCAUCAAUGGUGUAUCCGAAAGAAUUUACACAUCACUUGGGAAGACAGGUGAACUAAUGCCAGUGUACUGGAAGAAGCGAAGAUCACCAGUGUUGAAGCGAUGAUUCUUCAACAUCAACUUCGUUGGACUGGUCAUGUUGUUCAGACACCCUGUGAGGUGGGUAGGGUUGAGAGACUUCGGAGAGAAGUGUGACUAGCCCAAGAUCACCCAGCAUCUGCAUGUGGAGGAGCGGAGACGCGAACCCAGUUCCCCAGAUUACGAGUCUACCACUCUUAACCACUACACCACACUGGGAAACACUGGCCUGUGAGUGCUCCAGUUGGAGAACAGUCUUUAACAAAGGUGUCAUGGGUUUUGAAGAUACUCAAACUCAGGACCAAAGGGAGAAAUGUGCCAAGAGGAAGGCAUGCUUGGCAAACCCCCACCGUGAUUAACUCUUACCCAGAAACCUAUGUUCCCACUGUGGAAGGAUGUGCGGAUCCAGAAUUGGCCUCCAUGGUCACUUACAGACUAACUGUUAAAACCGUGUUUAUGGAAGACAAUCUUCCUAUGGGCGAUCGCCAAAGAAAAAGAUCUUCCAUAGAUCUGAAGGAACUGUAUAUAACCUAUUGUAGUGUUUAGCUUUGUCUUGCAUCUGGAGACAGUAAAGAUAUUAUUACUUUGAACUGUGUGGGAGAGGAGUCCCCCCCCCCUAACUGGGAACAUUGGAAGAAGCUGUUCUGCUGGGAGCAGGAAUUUUCUGAAGACUCUGCUGAUGCAUCUCACCUGCUGAGGAGUGGUGAGCUACCAGUUGACCUCCACAAGUCACCAACCAACAGACAAGAAGCCACUUCUUUGAAUCACAGGGCAAGUCCUGCUAGUUUGGGGUGGAAGGGUGAGCACAGUAUUUUCACUCUCCUCGUUCAGGUAUUUUCUCCUUGCUCUGAUGUUUGGCUGCAAGUUUUAUCGGUUGUUUUAAUACUGAAAUUACUGAAUCCACCCCCCCUCUUUUCUGUUUUAUGAAUGUAAGCAGCCCUGAGAAUGUAUACCUCAAAGGGCAGCAGACUAGGGUGAUUAAAUAUAUAAACAAUCAAGAUCUGAUCUGCUGCUUCUUCUAGCAAGUUGGGCGAUUUUC